UACAGAGGUCUCGAGCGUUAGGCGGAAUCACUGGGCUUAAAGCGUGUGUAGGCGGAUUGUUAAGUGCCUUGUGAAAUCCCACGGCUCAACCGUGGAACUGCUUGGCAUACUGGCGGUCUUGAGCAACCUAGGGGCGAGCGGAACAAAUGGUGGAGCGGUGAAAUGCGUAGAUAUCAUUUGGAACGCCAAUGGUGAAAACAGCUCGCUGGGGGUUUGCUGACGCUGAGACACGAAAGCCAGGGGAGCAAACGGG
rnacentral:rRNA from 1 species